UACGAAGGGGGCUAGCGUUGUUCGGAAUUACUGGGCGUAAAGGGCGCGUAGGCGGUGUGUCAAGUCAGGCGUGAAAGCCCCGGGCUCAACCUGGGAACUGCAUUUGUGACUGCAUGGCUAGAGUACGGUAGGAGGGGGAUGGAAUUCCGCGUGUAGCAGUGAAAUGCGUAGAUAUGCGGAGGAACACCGAUGGCGAAGGCAAUCCCCUGGACCUGUACUGACGCUCAUGCACGAAAGCGUGGGGAGCAAACAGG
rnacentral:rRNA from 1 species